rnacentral:rRNA from 2 species
AAAAGAACUCUGAAGAGAGGGUGCAAAAGCGCGUGAAACCGCCCAGGGGUAAACUGGCUGAGCCGAGCGACGUGUCCUGCCGUGGCGGCUGGUCGCCCGCGUUUCCUCGACAGGGGCUCCCGGCGACGGGUAAGCCGUCCUGGAGAGGCCGGGCGCGUGCCCAACCCCGGCAGGUCUCCGCCGUCACCGGCACCGGACCGUCUCGUCUCCGCGCCUUCCUCGGGUCGUCGGCUCGAGGGCUACGGGGCGCGGGUUUUAGAACGAGAGCGGUCGCGGGUGCCGUGGUCGACCGCGGGCGAUGGCGGUCUUCCGCAGUCGGUCGGUCGGCUUUAACCGGCCGGCCGCGCGUGGGGACUCCUGCCCGUCGAAAGGUGUACGGCGUUAUUCCGGUACCUGCCCGACCCGUCUUGAAACACGGACCAAGGAGUCCGACGCCUGUGCGAGCCGCAGGGUUUCCACUAAACCCCACGGCGAAGUGAAAGCGAGAGGCCUCUCGUGGGCCGAGGGCGGGAUCUCCGCGGGGCUCUUACAACGAGUCCUCGGAGCGCACCGCCGGCCCGGCGGUCGCCGCGUCGACGGCCCUGUCGGAGCAUGAGUGCAGGCGUCGGGACCCGAUAGAUGGUGAUCUACGCCUGAGCAGAGCGAAGCCGGGGGAAACUCUGGUGGAGGCUCGAAGCGACUCUGACGUGCAAAUCGACCGCCCGACUUGGGCGUAGGGGCGAAAGACCAAUCGAACCAUCUAGUAGCUGGUUCCCUCCGAAGUUUCCCUCAGGAUAGCCGGCGCCGACGGAACGAUUUUCACUCGGUAAAGCGAAUGGUUGGAGGCAUCGGGGACGAAACGUCCUCGUCCUACUCUCAAACUUUCAACGGGUGAGGCUCCAGACCCGCCUCGCACGGGGACUGGCCUCGAAUCACGGGUGCCGAGUGGGCCAUUUUUGGUAAGCAGAACUGGCGCUGCGGGAUGAACCGAACGCUCGGUUGUGGUGCCCAACGCAGGACGCUCACGGGAAAGCUAAAAGGUGUGGGUCGGUACUGACAGCAGGGCGGUGGCCACGGAAGUCGGAAUCCGCCAAGGAGUGU